GAUGAACGCUGGCGGCGUGCCUAAUACAUGCAAGUCGAGCGAACAGACGAGGAGCUUGCUCCUCUGACGUUAGCGGCGGACGGGUGAGUAACACGUGGAUAACCUACCUAUAAGACUGGGAUAACUUCGGGAAACCGGAGCUAAUACCGGAUAAUAUAUUGAACCGCAUGGUUCAAUAGUGAAAGACGGUUUUGCUGUCACUUAUAGAUGGAUCCGCGCCGCAUUAGCUAGUUGGUAAGGUAACGGCUUACCAAGGCAACGAUGCGUAGCCGACCUGAGAGGGUGAUCGGCCACACUGGAACUGAGACACGGUCCAGACUCCUACGGGAGGCAGCGGUAGGGAAUCUUCCGCAAUGGGCGAAAGCCUGACGGAGCAACGCCGCGUGAGUGAUGAAAGUCUUCGGAUCGUAAAACUCUGUUAUUAGGGAAGAACAAAUGUGUAAGUAACUAUGCACGUCUUGACGGUACCUAAUCAGAAAGCCACGGCUAACUACGUG
rnacentral:rRNA from 1 species